GUGCUAAAGAGGUUACCAUAGUCCCCUAUAAUAAUUUCCAUUCUUCAACUUUGUCAGCUGGUUUCAUUUUCUUGCAGUUGAUUUUCAUGGGUGGUACAUAC